CUGGCUCAGAUUGAACGCUGGCGGCAGGCCUAACACAUGCAAGUCGAGCGGAUGACGGGAGCUUGCUCCUUGAUUCAGCGGCGGACGGGUGAGUAAUGCCUAGGAAUCUGCCUGGUAGUGGGGGACAACGUUUCGAAAGGAACGCUAAUACCGCAUACGUCCUACGGGAGAAAGCAGGGGACCUUCGGGCCUUGCGCUAUCAGAUGAGCCUAGGUCGGAUUAGCUUGUUGGUGAGGUAAUGGCUCACCAAGGCGACGAUCCGUAACUGGUCUGAGAGGAUGAUCAGUCACACUGGAACUGAGACACGGUCCAGACUCCUACGGGAGGCAGCAGUGGGGAAUAUUGGACAAUGGGCGAAAGCCUGAUCCAGCCAUGCCGCGUGUGUGAAGAAGGUUCUUCGGAUUGUAAAGCACUUUAAGUUGGGAGGGAAAGGGC
rnacentral:rRNA from 1 species